UACGUAGGGUGCGAGCGUUAAUCGGAAUUACUGGGCGUAAAGCGUGCGCAGGCGGUUCGUUGUGUCCGUCGUGAAAGCCCCGGGCUUAACUUGGGAACUGCGAUGGAAACUAGCGAGUUGGAGUGUGGCAGAGGGGGGUGGAAUUCCGCGUGUAGCAGUGAAAUGCGUAGAGAUGCGGAGGAACACCGAUGGCGAAGGCAGCCCCCUGGGCUAACACUGACGCUCAGGCACGAAAGCGUGGGGAGCAAACAGG
rnacentral:rRNA from 1 species